rnacentral:rRNA from 1 species
UAAGUUCCUUGGAACAGGACGUCACAGAGGGUGAGAAUCCCGUACGUGGCCGCCGGCCUUCGCCUUGUAAAGCCCCUUCGACGAGUCGAGUUGUUUGGGAAUGCAGCUCUAAAUGGGAGGUAAAUUUCUUCUAAAGCUAAAUACCCGCCAGAGACCGAUAGCGCACAAGUAGAGUGAUCGAAAGAUGAAAAGCACUUUGGAAAGAGAGUGAAAAAGCACGUGAAAUUGUUGAAAGGGAAGCGCUUGCGGCCAGACGUGCCCGCGGUUGAUCAUCCCGGCUCCAGCCUGGUGCACUCCUCCGCGGGCAGGCCAGCAUCAGUUCGGGCGGUCGGAUAAAGGCCUCUAUCANGUACCACCCCUCGGGGUGGNCUUAUAGGGGAGGCGCAACACG